rnacentral:rRNA from 1 species
ACGAACGCUGGCGGCAGGCUUAACACAUGCAAGUCGAGCGCCCCGCAAGGGGAGCGGCAGACGGGUGAGUAACGCGUGGGAAUCUACCCAUCUCUACGGAAUAACGCAUGGAAACGUGUGCUAAUACCGUAUACGUCCUUCGGGAGAAAGAUUUAUCGGAGAUGGAUGAGCCCGCGUUGGAUUAGCUAGUUGGUGGGGUAAAGGCCUACCAAGGCGACGAUCCAUAGCUGGUCUGAGAGGAUGAUCAGCCACACUGGGACUGAGACACGGCCCAGACUCCUACGGGAGGCAGCAGUGGGGAAUAUUGGACAAUGGGCGCAAGCCUGAUCCAGCCAUGCCGCGUGAGUGAUGAAGGCCCUAGGGUUGUAAAGCUCUUUCACCGGUGAAGAUAAUGACGGUAACCGGAGAAGAAGCCCCGGCUAACUUCGUGCCAGCAGCCGCGGUAAUACGAAGGGGGCUAGCGUUGUUCGGAUUUACUGGGCGUAAAGCGCACGUAGGCGGACUAUUAAGUCAGGGGUGAAAUCCCGGGGCUCAACCCCGGAACUGCCUUUGAUACUGGUAGUCUUGAGUUCGAGAGAGGUGAGUGGAAUUCCGAGUGUAGAGGUGAAAUUCGUAGAUAUUCGGAGGAACACCAGUGGCGAAGGCGGCUCACUGGCUCGAUACUGACGCUGA